rnacentral:sRNA from 1 species
GAACCAACAAUUGUUCAACCAUUCCCCCGUGUUGAAGAAGUACGAAUGGCUGGUGAAGAAAUGAGAUUAGCUUGUGAUGCAACAGCUGAUAAUCAAUUAGAA